GGCUUAUCCGUGAUGUCAGCGAAUAAAUGUCUGAACAUAUGAGUUCAACACUGAUUUCAGCAUGUGGCUGAGAUGAGCU
rfam:Erinaceus europaeus unplaced genomic scaffold scaffold00076, whole genome shotgun sequence